UGCAUCUUAAGGCUCCGCCUUGUGUUGGGAUUUCCUGGCAAGGAACUCCCCAAGCAUAUGGGCGUCUGUCGUGGCCUGAACCGCAACACUCUGCGUGUAGGGAACGCCGGCAGUCGCCGAAAAACCGUCUA
rnacentral:misc_RNA from 1 species